GAUGAACGCUGGCGGCGUGCCUAAUACAUGCAAGUAGAACGCUGAAGGAAGGAGCUUGCUCUUUCCGGAUGAGUUGCGAACGGGUGAGUAACGCGUAGGUAACCUGCCUGGUAGCGGGGGAUAACUAUUGGAAACGAUAGCUAAUACCGCAUAACAGUAGAUGUUGCAUGACAUCUACUUGAAAGGGGCAAUUGCUCCACUACCAGAUGGACCUGCGUUGUAUUAGCUAGUUGGUGAGGUAACGGCUCACCAAGGCGACGAUACAUAGCCGACCUGAGAGGGUGAUCGGCCACACUGGGACUGAGACACGGCCCAGACUCCUACGGGAGGCAGCAGUAGGGAAUCUUCGGCAAUGGACGGAAGUCUGACCGAGCAACGCCGCGUGAGUGAAGAAGGUUUUCGGAUCGUAAAGCUCUGUUGUAAGAGAAGAACGAGUGUGAGAGUGGAAAGUUCACACUGUGACGGUAUCUUACCAGAAAGGGACGGCUAACUACGUGCCAGCAGCCGCGGUAAUACGUAGGUCCCGAGCGUUAUCCGGAUUUAUUGGGCGUAAAGCGAGCGCAGGCGGUUAGAUAAGUCUGAAGUUAAAGGCUGUGGCUUAACCAUAGUACGCUUUGGAAACUGUUUAACUUGAGUGCAGAAGGGGAGAGUGGAAUUCCAUGUGUAGCGGUGAAAUGCGUAGAUAUAUGGAGGAACACCGGUGGCGAAAGCGGCUCUCUGGUCUGUAACUGACGCUGAGGCUCGAAAGCGUGGGGAGCAAACAGG
rnacentral:rRNA from 1 species